rnacentral:rRNA from 2 species
UGGACCUGAUAUCAGGCAAGAUUACCCGCUGAACUUAAGCAUAUCA